GUUCCACGGGGUGUAUAUUGGUUCUCAGCGUGUUAUACCAUUCACACUGACAAACCAAUCAUCAGCUCCAGCCCAGGUCACCUUUGACCUGUCUGAGCAUGAAAACUUCACUCUCCGGCUCCCUCAUCCGGCUACAGGUAUGAACACAAACGAUGGUACAGAACAGGCAGAAUCGCAGCAGGUGUUUUGAUAGUUUCUCAUUCACAUUUUUCUCAGCAGAGAGGAGAGCAGCACUCAGUGUUGUGGAGAUCAGAGAAUACCAGACAAUGGAGUUAUCUCUUGUCUUCUCGCCCACUGAGAUUACCAGCUUUAACUUUGAUCUACCCCUCAUUGUUAAUGGAGUAAAAUACCUCUCUACCACUCAGUCCCUGUUACCUGCUUCUUCCUCAUCGUCUACCUCUUCCUCGCCAGCAGCGGGCAGCAGGAAACACACGGCCAAGUCUGUUUCUUACUCUGUUACCACCGUUGCACAUAAAACGCCCUCUGUGCAGGCUACAGGUGUGUGUGUGUGUGUGGGCGUGUGUAUGGGUGCGUGUGUGUGUGUGCGUGUGUGUGCGUGUGCGUGUGUGCGUGUGUGUGUGUGUAUUGAGAUCUAAGCAGGUAAAUGUAACGCCCGUCUCUUCCUUGUUGGGUUUGAAUUGGAUGAAGUUCUGUGUGCUCCACUGGAAAUGUCUCCCUCCCAUCUGCAGUUCAGUGUAGACCCACAGUAUGACACCUACACAAAGGUAAUGAGAAAUAUAUGAAUUGUCAUUGGAUUUAGUUUUUCUUCCGAGUUUUAAAUUGAUGAAUUUUUUCCAACUACUGCAGAAUGUCGACCUCAAAGCCGCGCACGAAGAGAGCGUGUGCUGGAAACUCAUUACUGGUGAUCACAUCAGCUGGUGGUUUGACAUCCACACACAAGCCUCACCAACACAGGAUGGAAGAAAGCAGAUGACGUGGACAGCCUCUCCAUCCUCAGGCAUUCUACGUCCAGGCCAGUCCAUUACUGUAUCGGUCACUGUCAAAACAGCCUCUGAAGAUGCGACCCAGCUGAUAAUCCCUCUGUAUGUGGGAGAGGAGAUUGGAGAGAAACAGGACCAUCUUUACAGAGAGCUGUCCAUCAACAUGGCUCUACAACAUCCGAGCAUCACCAUCCAUCCUCCUCAUAUCCUCCUCACCCCAGUACCGCUGAAUACCAGCAUCAAGGCCUCCCUGGUUUUGAUGGCUGCUGGAUAUUCAAGGUUGGAUUUUGUGUACUUACAGCUGCAGAUAUGUUAUGAAUUAUGUAAUUUUUUUAUACAUUUGCAGAGGAACAAGUGUCUCAGCUGAAGUGGACGAAGUGGAAAUGACAGACGGCACCAAAAUAAAUCCAGUUUUCGUUGUCUUUCCUCA
rnacentral:lncRNA from 1 species